rnacentral:rRNA from 1 species
AUACGGAGGGUGCAAGCGUUACUCGGAAUCACUGGGCGUAAAGCGCGCGCAGGCGGCUUGAUAAGUUGGAUGUGAAAGCCUACGGCUCAACCGUAGAACUGCAUCCAAAACUGUCAGGCUAGAGUGUGGGAGAGGAAGAUGGAAUUAGUUGUGUAGGGGUAAAAUCCGUAGAGAUAACUAGGAGUACCAAAAGCGAAGGCAAUCUUCUGGAACACUACUGACGCUGAGGCGCGAAGGCGUGGGGAGCAAACUGGAUUAGAAACCCCAGUAGUCC